UGGGGAAUAUUGCACAAUGGGGGAAACCCUGAUGCAGCGACGCCGCGUGAGUGAAGAAGUAAUUCGUUAUGUAAAGCUCUAUCGGCAGGGAAGAAAAGAGACGGUACCUGACUAAGAAGCCCCGGCUAACUACGUGCCAGCAGCCGCGGUAAUACGUAUGGGGCAAGCGUUAUCCGGAUUUACUGGGUGUAAGGGGAGCGCAGACGGCACAGCAAGUCUGGAGUGAAAGCCCGCGGCUCAACCGCGGGACUGCUCUGGAAACUGUUGAGCUUGAGUGCAGGAGAGGCAGGCGGAAUUCCUAGUGUAGCGGUGAAAUGCGUAGAUAUUAGGAGGAACACCGUGGCGAAGGCGGCUUACUGGACCGUAACUGACGUUGAGGCUCGAAAGCGUGGGGAGCAAACAGG
rnacentral:rRNA from 1 species